GUCACGUGGAUAGAAAUUCAAAUUCGUAGGCGUUACGUUUUGGCUGUCGGUCUGGAAUCGGGAUGCAUUGAUAAGUGAAUAUUAUAGAUUUUCUUGAACAAAAAGGUAGUUAAAGUGUUGGACAUGCUCUCAAAGGUCGGAGGGACGGAAACACGUGAAUAUGUAAAAAGAAACAUAUGAAAUGAAAAUGAUGUCACACACGCUAUUGGGCGCUACAAACGCUACAUAUCCUCCGGACAGACGAGGUGUGCUGAAA